rnacentral:rRNA from 1 species
GAUGAACGCUAGCGACAGGCUUAACACAUGCAAGUCGAGGGGCAGCGGGGGUAGCGAUACCCGCCGGCGACCGGCGCACGGGUGAGUAACGCGUAUGCAACUUGCCUAUCAGAGGGGGAUAACCCGGCGAAAGUCGGACUAAUACCGCAUGAAGCAGGGGCCCCGCAUGGGGAUAUUUGCUAAAGAUUCAUCGCUGAUAGAUAGGCAUGCGUUCCAUUAGGCAGUUGGCGGGGUAACGGCCCACCAAACCGACGAUGGAUAGGGGUUCUGAGAGGAAGGUCCCCCACAUUGGUACUGAGACACGGACCAAACUCCUACGGGAGGCAGCAGUGAGGAAUAUUGGUCAAUGGCCGAGAGGCUGAACCAGCCAAGUCGCGUGAGGGAUGAAGGUUCUAUGGAUCGUAAACCUCUUUUAUAAGGGAAUGAAGUGCGGGACGUGUCCCGUUUUGUAUGUACCUUAUGAAUAAGGAUCGGCUAACUCCGUGCCAGCAGCCGCGGUAAUACGGAGGAUCCGAGCGUUAUCCGGAUUUAUUGGGUUUAAAGGGUGCGUAGGCGGCCUUUUAAGUCAGCGGUGAAAGUCUGUGGCUCAACCAUAGAAUUGCCGUUGAAACUGGGGGGCUUGAGUAUGUUUGAGGCAGGCGGAAUGCGUGGUGUAGCGGUGAAAUGCAUAGAUAUCACGCAGAACCCCGAUUGCGAAGGCAGCCUGCCAAGCCAUUACUGACGCUGAUGCACGAAAGCGUGGGGAUCAAACAGGAUUAGAUACCCUGGUAGUCCACGCAGUAAACGAUGAUCACUAGCUGUUUGCGAUACACUGUAAGCGGCACAGCGAAAGCGUUAAGUGAUCCACCUGGGGAGUACGCCGGCAACGGUGAAACUCAAAGGAAUUGACGGGGGCCCGCACAAGCGGAGGAACAUGUGGUUUAAUUCGAUGAUACGCGAGGAACCUUACCCGGGUUUGAACGCAUUCGGACCGAGGUGGAAACACCUUUUCUAGCAAUAGCCGUUUGCGAGGUGCUGCAUGGUUGUCGUCAGCUCGUGCCGUGAGGUGUCGGCUUAAGUGCCAUAACGAGCGCAACCCUUGCCACUAGUUACUAACAGGUAAAGCUGAGGACUCUGGUGGGACUGCCAGCGUAAGCUGCGAGGAAGGCGGGGAUGACGUCAAAUCAGCACGGCCCUUACAUCCGGGGCGACACACGUGUUACAAUGGCGUGGACAAAGGGAGGCCACCUGGCGACAGGGAGCGAAUCCCCAAACCACGUCUCAGUUCGGAUCGGAGUCUGCAACCCGACUCCGUGAAGCUGGAUUCGCUAGUAAUCGCGCAUCAGCCAUGGCGCGGUGAAUACGUUCCCGGGCCUUGUACACACCGCCCGUCAAGCCAUGGGAGCCGGGGGUACCUGAAGUCCGUAACCGAAAGGAUCGGCCUAGGGUAAAACU